UACGGAGGGUGCGAGCGUUAAUCGGAAUUACUGGGCGUAAAGCGCACGCAGGCGGUUUGUUAAGCUAGAUGUGAAAGCCCCGGGCUCAACCUGGGGUGGUCAUUUAGAACUGGCAGACUAGAGUCUUGGAGAGGGGAGUGGAAUUCCAGGUGUAGCGGUGAAAUGCGUAGAUAUCUGGAGGAACAUCAGUGGCGAAGGCGACUCCCUGGCCAAAGACUGACGCUCAUGUGCGAAAGUGUGGGUAGCGAACAGG
rnacentral:rRNA from 1 species